AAGCAAUUUAAGCAAACCAUUCUUCAAGUGCCACACUGGGAUGGAAUUCAAAUGGACCACAGAGUGGAUGAGAAUCGUGCAAAUGAGAAAAGUCUGAGGAACACAGGCAACUGGCAAGUGCCAAUUCAACCAAGAAUAGGUAGCGUAACAUCACUAUUUCCAUGUAUUAAGAGGAAACAUUUACGUAAAAAUAAGCUUUAGUUUUGAAUUUUUGUUGUUUAUAAUGAAAAUAAUCUGGCAUCAUUAAAAACAGUUAAGUGCUGAAGAAACAAGCUUCAUUCUGUAAAAAGCUCUAAGAGGGCCCAAGUAUCUCUUUCAGUGGUCUUGAUAGUUUCAAUACAAGAAUAUUUUUCCAACUUCCAACUCAAUGAAAGGUAUUAAAAUUCAGAAAAUGGAAAGCCUCACAGAAAGUUAGACAGAAAGUAAUUAAGAGAGGUUUGGCCUCAGCCUAAAAGAGAGAAUAUUAAAAAAUCAUUAACACUGGGAAAGAAAUGAUGUUAUUGUGUAUGUAUACAUAACUUGAAUAAGUAUUGCUAGAUUGCUCUGCAAAAAUAAGUAUAGAAUUUUUCAUUUCCAAUUAUAAAUGGAUUAAGUUUCCUAUCAUUCCAUAUGGUAGAAGAUAUGUGGUUAUUUCUUGCCUAUGUCAUAUUUCUGGUCACUUUAUGGCAGAAGUGACAUAAAUCAUUUAUUUGUCAAUGAAAGCCCCAUUUCCAUCCCCACAGUCUUAACACCCAUCCCCUGCCCCCAUUCUUUGUCCAAAGAUCUCCCUUUUCCCCAUUGGCAUGGAGAUAAAUAACAAUCACUUGUUUGUGCUGUAUCAACUUGGGCUUCUGAGUACAGUGAAGAGAAGACUACCCAACACUAUAAUUUACAAAAAUUUACCCGUAGCAAUAAGUAAAUCUUGGGUAUAUUUAACCACCAAAUUUUGUGUGUCAUUUGUCUUUGUAGCUAAUACUGGCUCAUUCAGACAGAUAAAUUCCAUAUUUAUAGCAAUAUUCAACAUUAGCUGAAUUUACAAAAUUUUUCCAAUCUUGGAUAUAUAUACUUAUAAUCCACUGUUUUAACUUGUAUUUCUCUAGUACCGUAAAUUCUUAUCAUAUGACUUCAUCUUGUAUGAGGAUGAUGUUUGAGUUUCCUCUUUAACUUUCCUAUUCAGAGACAUAGUCUAUUUUCUCUUGAUCUUUCUAUAUCAUUGGUUUUCAUGAGUUUUACUUGUUUACUUGUGCUUUUCUUUUUUUCAUUUUUUUUUCUUUUCUUUUCUUUUCUUUUUUUUGUGGGGAGCAGUUCUGGGGAUUAAACCCAGGGGCAUUCAACCACUGAGCCCCAUCCCCAGCCCUUUUUUGUAUUUUAUUUUGAGACAGGGACUCACUAAGUUACUGAGGCUGGCUCUGAACUCGUGAUCCUCUUGUCUCAGUCAUCCAAGCCACUGGGAUUAGAGGCAUGUGCCACUGUACUUGGCUUGUUUGUGUUUUUCUUAAUCUAUUUUCAGUUUUUGAUAUCACAUAUGUUUUAUUCUAUUCUGACAAUUUGUUCUUAAAGUGAUCUUGGUGAUCCUUUGUUAAAAAAAUAAUAAUAAUUAAUUCUUUGUCAUUACUUUGUCAUCAACAUCAUAUUUUAAAAAAUUCUUUCCUAUCUCUAAGUCACGUGAUAAUCUCCUAUUUCUUAUGUAUUUAUAGUUUUUGUCUUUUCAUACUCUUUCAAUCCAUCUAAGUUUCUUAAUUUUUUCCUAUGAAGGGAGUAAUUUCUCAACAUCAUAUAUUAAACAAUCUGACCUUUACCAUUGAUUUGUAGAGACUGCUUUCUUCUAUAUAAAUCUUUAAAUAUUUGCAUUGUGAUUAUUGGCUCAAUCUGCUAAACAGUUUCCCUCAGGGAUCUCAUUUGACAGGGGUAUCUUCUUCCCAUGGCUUUUGCAUUUUGUUACUGCAAUGCCCACCCACAAAAACUGAGAUGUAUGCAGAUGAAUGCAAACUCCUCCAUCAUCUUGCAGCCAAGAUCAUUACUCAACAUCCCUCCCACCAGGUUAAACUGAUUAGAAGGGGCAACAAAAUUGCCUACUAUAUACCAUGCUGGAGAGUGGGAAAAUAAAGUCACCUAAAAAUAGGAUAUCUUGAGUUGAAUUUCCCAGACAUAGACUCUGGAACAAAAAUGUCGCAAAUCACUUACUUAGGAAGUUAAAAAAAAAAAAAAAAAACACUUUUGGGAAAGUUAUGAAAUGAGACAAGAGAAAGCCACUAACAAAAGAUUGCUACCACUAGGGGAAAUGGAGCUUCAAUUCCAUUGGAAAAACUCUGGGAUUCCAUAUAGAGCCAAAGUUUUAUAGUCAUCACGCCUGUGACAUAAGGGGACUUUAGUAUUUACAAACAAAAUCAUUGCUCAAGAGCCACAUUCUUCAGGGGACAUUGAAAAGGCCCCAGCACUUCAAUGGCUGUCAGGUGGACAUAUGCAGAUGCUGAACUUUGGUAGUAAGCAAGUACAGGAUCAGCAGCAAGGAUGCAACCAAGUGUGAUGGGAAGCAGGUAGAACAACAGCUGCUCUCCAAGGUGAAUGUAGAUCAUUACUGGAUAGUACUGAUUAAUAGUAAAGGAGACAUAGGACCUGUGCAGUGCUUCUCAGGUUUAACUAAUAAAUGGGCCAUUUGAAAUCUUCUCCAAACCCCUCCAAAAUGGAUAUUAUUCAUAUUCUAUUUUAUGUAUGAAAAUGCUAAAGAGAUUGAGGUUGGCUAAAUGUCCCAAGAUUUCAGAGCCAGGUUUUGUGGUUUCCACUAUUUUUUUUUUUUUUAGGAAUUCAGGUGACUGCAAUAUUGAAACAGUUAAUAUAAUUUUUAUUUAUUCUUUAUAUUGCUACCCCAUUGCAUUUUCAAAAUAGUCUGUGGAGAAAAAAGAACAUAACUAUUAAUAACAUUUUUUGUUGUUGUUUUUACAAAAUGAAAGAAACCUGUAAGAACAAUGUGAAAUCCAAAUGUUCAAUUACUUUCUGGUUGAAAGGUAGGAACACAAACAGGAAACAUUAUCCAGGCAGUGAGAGAACCUCAUAUUUAAUGUUCUCCUUUCUUAUUUUCUCACAUGCCCGCAAUGAAAAUAGCUUUGCAAAGCUCUGACCUGAGAGGAUAUUUGCCACAUUGUCCUUAAAAUCUCUCUCAUAUUAAACCUUACUUUCACAUUUUAAAAAAAUUAAAUGAAUGAGAGAUGCAAUGUUUUAAAGUAGUCCUGUUUUCCCUACUCUAAUACUCAGUCAUGAUCAUUCUCCAUUCUUUCUUCCAAUGAACAAGAUAAUGUGGCCUUCUGUCAUGCUAUUUGGGUGGUGUGGCUUCAAAGUCUGCUUUGGAUCCAUCACCAGUCUGUUUGCAAAGCAACUCAUAUUAAGUAGUUUUGGCCCUUCUCUACCUGUGCUUUUUCUUUGGAUUGACUGUAUGUUCUGAAAUUACCCUAUAGAAUCUAUUAUUGAAAUGGCACAGAAAAAAAGACAGUUACCAAAGAAAAAUAGCAUUACUAUUCUUAAUCAUAAUUUUUUAAAUGAAAUAUUCAAAAAUGGUAUAUAUUUUUAGAAAUUUUCCUUUAGGGCCAGUGAUAUUUGGUUGUCAGAUUUUAAGUGUCUAUGCUCACAUAGCAUGGCCUUCAAGCUGGAAUACUAUGUAUUGACAAAACUAAUGAUACAAUGUAUCUUUCAGUGUGUGUGCAAUGGAGAUUUUAAAUAAAGCAUCACAUUUCAUCAUCCAAAAAUGUUAUCACCUACCCUACCGUGCAGUAGACUUACAAAAACAAAACUCAAGGUGACUAUGCUAGAAUCAAAGAGAUCCAGUAAAUAUCAGAUGCAUGAGUUGAGUAAAGGACUACUGAAUCUGAUGCUAAGAGAGCAUUAGUAUUCAUCCCAACAUGCCAUGCUUCAUGACUGUAUUUCCAAGGAGGCAUGUAACACUAUCAACUGAAAGUCCAGGCUCACUAUGCAGCCUCAAAAAUUCCACAGGAUGCCUGAAAUGGUCCCUCAUUUAUACAUAUUUGUUCCUCAGAUUUUCUGCCAAGUGAGCCAUGACAGAACAAGGAACAAAUUGGUAACUUUGUGUGAUAAUUAAAGAAUUUCUACCAGUAAUUUUUACUAAUGAGGCAGAAAUUUUUAAAAGGUGCCGUAACAUUUGAUGAGUAGAAGAAUGUAUUAAAGGAAUGGUCUGGUCUCAAAAAGUAGGUGGUGCUAAGUGUGACUUAGGGGCUAAAAUUUUUUGUGUAUUUUUGUUCCUUAGAUAUUGCUUUAAGCUGUACUCUGUUAGGGCAUAGAAAAUGUAUUCAAGAAAUACACACAUCCAUGUAUGUGUGGGUUGAGAAUUAAUAAAUAAUUGGUACAGAUGUGACUUGGAAAUUCAGAAAAGAUAUUUUGUGGCCGGUAAAAAAUGGUGGCUACACAACCAAUUCCAACAGAAAGAUUUCCUUAAAAAGUAACAGAAAUGAGAGAACAGUUACUCAUAGUUUUGUCUCUAGAAAAUUUAUUCCUAAGUGAGUCAGAGAGCCAGAGAGCUACCAGAUUCUUAGCUAAGAAAGAAUGCCAUGGUUUGAAUGUGACCCCCAAAUUCACAUGCUGACAGCAUUUGAAGAUAGAGUAUGGGUGAGGUAAUUUCCAUUAGAUGAGGUCAGGAAGGUGAAUCCUGCAUGAUGGGAUUAGAGACUUUACAAUAGAGGAAGAAAGACCUGAGCUUGCCCACUUCCUCUCUCUCCACGUGAUGCCCUCUGUCACACAACAAGAAGGCCCUUACCAGAUGCAAACUAUCAACCUUGGACUUUCUAGCCUCCAGAACAGUAAGAAACAAUUGUUUUACAUCAUUUACCCAGCCUGUGAUAUCAUGUUAGAGCAACAUUAAACAAACUAAGACAAAGGGUGAAAAGAACACACUGAACUACCAUAAACAUUGUUAAAGUUGCUGGGACUGGCCUGGAAUUUGAGAUACCAUAAACAUUGUUAAAUGAUGAGUUAUUACUUUAUGCUGAAUAUUCUCCUGAAAACAAAGAACUGAAUGCUUACAGAGGUUCAACAUAAUUUAAUUGUAUUGCAUGAGGCUUUAGCUAUGCUAAGGACUUAUAUUAAGAGGAAAGGUCAUGAUUUUAUGGGGUGAAAAUAAAAUCACUGUAACACUUCUUAAAAUUUUAUGUAACUUCCAGAUUAUUUCUUCAUGAGCAACUUGAUAGUCUAAUUUGGCUUUUUCUUUUUUUUUUCCUUUUUCAAAUACAAAAUUUUUUUAAGGAAAGAAACACAUUACUCAAACCAAACAACAUCAUUCAUAUCUUUGAUUUAGAUAUCGAAACUUAAGAAAAUUGGAAUUUAUUGAAGUUAAAUGAGUAUUACUCAGAAGUCUUGCAUUAUAUUUUCUGGUAAUUUAUAUUUUGGAAUCAAUCCCACCUAUAUGCAAUUGAUUUUUUAAAUUUUUCUUUCUUAUGUCAAAACAUUUUUGUUUAGACACAUAUUACCUUUGAAUCAAAGUCAGUGUGAUAGUUAGAUUAUUGUAAGACAAGGACUAUUAAAAUAAAUUUAAAUGUUUCAUUGUCUAAAGAUAUUUUUUCUCCAAAAUAUGUUUCACAUUCUUGUAGGGAUAGUAGACAAAAAGAGGAAUAGGUCCUCACAUGCUGGAGUUUACAGCCCAGAAGAGGAAACGAAUCAAAUACAUAAGACACUUUCUAGGAUCAAUGAAAAUUUGGGCAUCAUGCAAUAAAAUCAAUUGCUAUUAUUGAAUUCCUAUGGUACAAUUAAUUACAACAAGAAGGGUAUAUCAAAAUAAAACACAAGAAUCUCACAGCAAUCAAGGAUUCAUCCAUGACAUCUCAACUUCUGCCACAUCAUCUGUGAUCUUGGAGCUUACCUGUGCAACAUGCCCACCCUAUUUAGCAUGUUAGAGUCAGAGAUGUUAGAGUCAGAGACACCAGUGCUGCAUUAUGACUGCAUCUUCUGUGUCCCUGGAGCUGAAAUCAACAUGACUAUUUUUAUGGUCAGAAUCUUCUUGAGUUGAGAAAUAGUAAUACGCUCAAUUCCAGGAGUGUUCCAAGUUUUGGUGGUCCACCGCUUAUAUAAUUAUUAGGAGGUUUUCUUUAGGGAAAAGAGUACUCUCUUAUGGAUACAAACUUAAGGAGAAGAAUUUGGAAGAUGCUAAUGCAAAGGAAUCCCGGAAAGUCCACCUUCACAGUAGGUUUCUGUUAACAAUUAUAGUAACCUAAAAAGCAAGUAAGAACAGUCAUCUCCCACACAUAGAGCUACUCGAUAUAUACAACCACACAUAAAAAUCUCUCACCCUUGAAUAAAUUCAUAAAAAUCCUAUAACACAUUAGCAGAAUGUACAUUAAAAACACAUUAUAACUAUGUACUGUUGAUUCCAAGAAUAUAAGAAUUAUUUGAUUUUUUAAAUGUAUAAAUUUGAGUUAGUAUAUUAAAAUAUUAAAGGAGAAAUAUGUAUAAUCAAUUCAAUAAUUGUGAAAAUCAUUUCUAUUUUAAAAAUAUCUUUUUUAGAAAUAUAGGACCUAUUUGAAAGUUAUGCAUUCACCAAGACCUCAUAAUAGCAUUACUAAAAUUUAAAAAUAAAAUUUGGAAGCCCUUUCUUAUAAGUCAGAAAUUGAACAUUUUACUAGAAUCAUUGGGUGUGACAAUAAAAGAGCUGAAGGAAAUAAAAAGGUUUCUGUACCAGGCAAUAUUGGGAGAUAAUUUACCAGUUAGAAAACCCAUGACAGCCAGGCGUGGUGGUGCAUGCCUGUAAUCCAAUGUAGCAGGAGGCUGAGGUAGGGAGAGUUCAAAGCCAGCCUCAUCAAAAGUGAAGUGCCAAGCAACUCAGCGAGACCCUGUCUUUAAAUAAAAUCAAAAUAGGGCUGGAGAUGAGUCUCAGUGGUCAAUGUUCCUGAGUUCAAUCCCUGGAAAUGUCUCACACACACACACACACACACACACACAAAAAAAAAAAAAAAAAAAAAUCCAUGACAAUUCUUUUGAAAAACAAAAAUCUAUCAUAACUUAUGUGGAUACUCAGAAAGAUACUUACAUGAAAGCUAAACAUAUAAAAGCAGUAGUAGCAUUUUAUAUGGUGGUAAUAAUAAAUUUUAAAUAUAACAGAGAAAGCAAUCAUAGAGUAAUUGAAACUAGAAAAAAUAAUUUUAGAUGACUUAAAUACAUGAGAAAAUAUAAUGGCAAACAGGAAGUAUAAAAACAGAAAAGAUAAAAACAGGAAGGAUAAAAAGUGUACUUCUUGGCUCAAGUGAAUAUUGAAUUCUGUGAAACAAAAUAAAAGUCUUUUUUUUUUAAAGAAUAAAUCUUUUUUUUUUUUCACAGUGUUUCCCAAAGGAAUAAGCCCAGGUCACAUAAAAUAGACUCAAAUCAUAGAGGUUGAGAAUAUCAUUAGAAAACUAAAGACACAACGUGUGUUGAGUGAUCCUCAAUGGAGGUACAUGAAUGCUGGCCUGGCAAGUCUUCAGGAACCUUCCUUGCCUUAUCUUUUUAAAAAUUGUUUUAUUUGUUUUAAUUAGUUAAACAUGACAGUAGAAUGCAUUUAUGUAUUUUGAUAUAUAUAGAUGAGAUAUAAUUUCUCAUUUUUCUGAGUGUACAUGUUGUAGAAUCACAUUGGUCAUGCAAUCACCUAUAUACAUAAAGUAAUAAUGUCUGUUUGAUGCUACAAUCCUUCUUAUCCUCACAUCCCCUCCCCUCCCCUCCCCUCCUUUCACUUCCUCUACCUAAUCUAAGGUAACUCUAUUCUUUAGUGCCCCAACUGCAUGGUGAAUUAGCAUCCAAAUAUUAGAGAAAACAUUUGGCCUUUGGAUUAAUGGAAAAUGAGCAGGCCAUUGUAAUGUUAGCAGUUCUUUGUGGUUCUUUAACUAUUUAUUGUAAUUUCUUUCAUUGAAUGUUCAUUUGGAAAGAAUUGCAAAAGUUUCUAAGAAGCAUGAUAAAUCAAUUAUAGUGCUUAAAACAUAUGGACAAAUAGCCUCAUGGAGAGAUUCUGCAGCCCCAGAUGUAACUCAUAAUGUAAUGACAAUGGCAGCUUUUCAGAUUCAUGGAGGAAACAUUGGAUAAUUCAAUACAUUACGUUCAGACAACUUGCUAUUAACUUAGGGGAAAAAAAUUCUGUAUAUCUACUUAAUAAUGCAUACACAAAUGGACAGAUCAAACUACUAAAUUUAAGAAAAUAUAAAAAGAAAAUAGUAAAUGUUUGUGUUAACAUGUGUAAAGCUUUUUACAGACAUUACUAAAAGAUGCUAAAGUAAAGUUAUAAAACAUUUGUAUUUUCUUAUGUUCAAAAACAAUGUAAACAAACACACAUGGCAAAGGACAUUCAAACAUAAAAUUUUAAAUGUCAUAGCAAAUCAAUAAAACAGUAAAACAGAAAUAUAGCAACAAUAAAAAGAAAUAUAGCCUGUGAGAAAAAUUCUAUUCACAUGCACAAUAUGAAAAUAACUAUUGAUAUUAAAAAUAAAACUCAUAAGCUCAUGGGUAAUUGAGAAACUUCAAAUCAUAAUGAGAUAUUAUUUUUAAUCAUUUGAUAAACAUAAACCAGAAAUAUUCAUGAAAUAUACUACUGGGCUAUAUAGGAUAUUAAGAUAGAGAAAAUUGCAUGCUCAAUUGAGAGAAUGCAAAUUUUCUACAUGUUUGAAGAAAUUCUUGAGGGUCUCUUUCCAAUUUUAAAACACAUAUAUCCCAAAGAUUACAUUUCUAAGUAGCCAUGCUAGCUAAAACACACACAAAAUGAUUUAUGGUAUUCAUUGCAAAUUUCUUGUUCAUAACAAAAGAAAUAAAUGAAGGCUACAAAUUUUCUACCAACGGAGUAAGAUAGAGGAUACUAUUUCAUCCUGUGAAAUACUAUGCAGCAGUUUGAAAAUAUACUGUGUAUACAUGAAUUGUCAUGGACCAACCUGUAAGAUAUGUUAGAACAAAACCUAUGAUAUAAUCCAGUGUAAAUAAAGUGUGUUAGUGUUUGUGUGUGAGCCUCCACAGAUCCAGAAGAAGUCAGGGUAAAUUAUUGGCAGCAGUAACUUCUGAGUUGACAAGUGGACACUUGCAACUGUAGGAUUGUGAAGUGGGACUCUGUGUGUCCCCCAUGAUCUCACUUCCCUUGUUGACAGUGCCAGUCCUCCAGUGAAUAUGAGCUGGACUUUUAACUUGCUUUUAACAAAUAAAACAUGGCAAAGGUGAUGGGGUGUCACUCCUGUGUGUAUGCUGCAUUGUAUGUGACUCCUUACUAGUUGGCUCACUCUAGAGACUAUCUCCCUCCAGCCCUACCCAACCCCCACCUUUCCUCCCUCACCCUCACCACUUCCCUCAUGCUGGUUUUGAAGAAGCAAGAUGCCAUUAAUCCUGCAACUGUAGCAGAAUUCAUGAGGAAACUUAGACACAUGUCCUUCUCCAGGAGUCCAGGCUCUUGUGAGACCACUGCCCCAGCCAAAGCCAGGGUUGCAGCCUGAAAACAUUGAGAGAACCAACAGAGCAGAGGAGACUCCUGACCCACAGAAACUGUGAGAUAAUAAAUAAGUGUCAUUUUAAAUGUGUGGAAAUUUGUUGCACAGCUCAUAGGCAACCAAUACCUUUCACCUUGCACUCAUAUUUAUUGUAUAUUCCAUGGAAAAAUGUAAACCUAUGUUGAAAUGGAACUAACAACAAAACUGCUGUUGUCAUAGAAUCAGACCACCUCCAUUCUUGAGAGGCCCUUCGAGUCCCACUUAUAUAAGAGAAGAGCACUGAAAGCCACACAGCCUCAGAAAAUCCUGUUACAACUAAAAAAUAGGUUCUUCUCUUCAUAAGGAAACCUACCACAUUAGGAAAUCACAAAUGUAUACACACAGAAGAAAGAAUGAAUAAAAGGAAGGAAGGAAGGAAGGAAGGAGGGGGGAGGGAGGGAGGGAGGGAGGAAGGACAUUCUUCAACUCAAAAGGAAAACUUACUUUGGAGAGGGAAAAAAACACUUUUUCUCUUAGCAGAAUUACAACUAAUCAAUUUAGAAGAAAAUGCAGAAUUUAGAAGUUAUCCCUUGACAAUCAUAGGAAUAAUAAAUAAUUCAUCCAGGAAGACUCAAUAGAUCCUAAAAGGUGUGUGAAAUCUUGACGAGUAAUGACAUAGUUACAUAGUCCUAAAGUACCUCCAACUUUCUAAUUAUAAAAGAGAAAAAAGUGUAAAAAAACAACUCCAUAGUGAAGAAAGUUGUUCAUCAUCACCUUAAUCAGAAAAUCAAAAGCAACAUCACCAGUUAUGUGUCAAACUGAAACAGAGCUCCUUCUGAUAAAAUGGAAUAAGAAUAACAACAAAGAAUCCUUUCUGUGAAAUGUCUACCAGAAAUUCACAUUAUGGGUUUAAUCAUUAAAAAAAAAAAUUAAACCAACCUAAAUUGGGAGGAUGGGAGAAAGUAGUCAUAAAACAAUAACAACAAAAAUACGCCCUGAAAUCUUUACAUGUGCCAAGUUCAUGCAAGUCAAGAAAAUACUGAGAAAUUCUUCCAAACCAAAGAAGACAAAACAACUAAAUGUAAUGUAAGACAUUGGAAUGAUUCCUUUUGGUAUUAAGGACAUUCUUGGGAAUAACGGGAAAUCUAAAUGAGAUCUGAGGAUUAGACGGUAGUCAUGUAUCAGUGUUAAUUUCCUGAUUUAGAUGAUUAUAUUGUGGGUACACAGGGCAAUUUCUCUGUUGAAAUUCAUCAGUGAUGGGAUAUCAAACAAUGAUUUAUUGAAAAACUGUCAAGGGUUAAAGAAAAACAACUUUAUUCUAUCCUUAUAAUACUUUGGUGAUUUGAAAGUAUUUUAAAUUAAAAAUUAAAAAAAAUGGUCUUUAUUACUUUUAGCCAAAAUAAGAUAUUUCCAAAACAACCAUGUUUGUAUUUUCAUUAAGAUUUACCAAUUACGAAUUCUUUCAAUCUAAGCCAAAAGAUCACUAUUAUUGAAGUGCUUUAGUUCUAAAAUCUGACUUCUUCCCAACAUGUUUUGCCUCUAGUAGAAGAUUGUCACCAUCCAAUAUGGAGACUAACUGUUUUUUCACUCAAAAAAAAAACAAUUCUCACAUGUGGUGAAUGUCUAUACAUGAUAGAAUUUGAGACUAAGGCAAUGGCCUCUUUCCCAUGAUAUAACAGUAUGUUUGAGGUAAAAAUAUCUAGUUUACUUGAAUCUUCCAAAUAGGUAAUUAAUGUUUUCAUUUCCCUUCUGUUUCAUCAGGGCAAUCAAAAAACUCGUAUAUAAAACCACUGUUUUCAAUUCCAAACACACACUGAAGUACACACACAAAGACCCACGUCAUAUGUGUCCAUGACCCCAGUGAUUGGACAAGACUACUCAUUUCUAAAUAACAGUAGCCUUUACUGGAACCCACUAGACCACUAAUGUGCUUGUCCCUGAGCUAGAGCUAGACACAGAGCAGACUCCCAGAUCUGUGUGGUUUUUACCAGCCGGUGCCAUCUGUUUGCCAUUGAAAGAAUGCUGAGACCUACUUCCUACCACUUUUAAGAGAUCCUUCAGAGGGGCAUCCAAGUGCUCUCCUAAGAUGCAAAUGUUACAGAUCAUUCUUCUUUAACAAGAUAUCUUAUUCUUUAAGUUUUCAGUUUUAAACACUGCACAUCAAGGGCAGAAACAAACCCCAAAGAGGAAAUAAUUUGAAGAAGCAGAAGUAGGAAGUUUUCAUUACUGUUCUCAUUCACCCAUUUGAUGCAUUUCUUGCUCCUACUACACCAAGUUCUAUCCAGGCAUUCAUCAAUAAUUAUUAAGAUCUUACCUAAUAAUCCUCCUCUUAACCUCAAGUACAUGUGCAUUUUAGUGACAGAUUCUAAAUGAACUAAAAUCCCUUAAGACUUACAGACAUAAAUAUCCUUUGGAGAAAUGUCAAGCAUCAUUAUCAUUGGUGAAAGAAUAUUUGGAGCAAAACUCUUUCCAAAAACCACAUUCUGCAAACAUUUCCCUGCUGGACUCCACCUCGCCUCGCUGAGAGGUCCAGGGUAGUGGAUGAGGAUACUUAUUCCUGCAGCAAAGAAUAACAGCAGUUCUGUUAUUUACUACAAGUAUGAUCAAGGACAGAUGAUGAAACUUUCUGAUCAUCAGCUUUCUAAGAUUAUUGUUGUAAUUGAAUAUUAUGUUGCAUAUAAAUUGUCUGGCACAUAGUAGGUGUGUAAUAAAUGGCAAUUAUUAGUCAUAGAGCUUGCCCCAUCCUCAUAGGAAAAUAUGGUCUGUAUUUUUACAAUUUUGUUCUUUAAAUAAAUUUGUGACUACAGUUUAAUAGUCCACAUUUUCUGAAAAUGAAGUAUUUGUGUGAAGUAGAUUUAACCAGAAAUUUGUUCCUGUAGCUUUUAUUAGUGUACAAAUGUUCUCAGUAAUAGAAACAUUAUCAUAGCUAAGUGCUUUCAAUUUCUGCUCUGUUGUAGCAUUGUGGAUAGAAAUGAAAAAAAAUAUUAUUUGCUACUUAUGUUCUAGUGUAAGUGAUGCAGGAAUUCUACAUGGUUCUGAAAUCCAAUUUUUUGCAUAAGCUGAGAAGUAAUCGUAAAACUAUUCAUCUCUUGAAAAAAAAUAAACAAGUUUAAUACUUUAUACCUCAUGUUAUAAUUAGACAAUUAAAAUAAACAAAAUAAUAGAGUAAAUACUUUUGCUAUGUUCUAAAAAUUGCCCUUGAAGUAGCAUCAUCACGAUAACAAUCAAUGAUUUACUGAUUUGUGAAGGGAUAAAUUCAUAAGAAUGUUUCAUAAACUGUACUCCCAUGAAGUAUGAACAUCUGACUAUAAAUGUUAGAAUAUCUUCUGAUGUAGCUAUUUAUUAAGUUAUUCUUUGAAACUGUGAAGAGGGUAACAUUUGUCAAUAUCAAGACUUUGUUUUGUUUUCCUAAUGAGUCCUAUUCUAAAGAUCCCAAACUUGUUGAAAUCAGUGUCAUUUCUGUGAAGAGAUUUUUCAUGGUUUGUCAGUAAAAAUAGAAAUAAUCAUUUGAAAUUCUGUUCAUGAGUGAGAUACUGUCCUAAGGACUACAUUUAAUCCUCAGAACAACCUUUAAGGUAUGUAUUAUUAUUCUCAUUUCUGAAAAGAGAAAAUUGAUACUUUGAAAGGCAGAAGAACUCCACUUUUUCCACACCACCUAGUUGGCAAAGGCAGAAUCAGUACUGAAACCCAGUUACUCUGACUCCAAAGCCUUUGUUCUCCAUCUCUCAGAAAAUCCAUGAACUCAUGUCCUGUGGAUCCCAUUCAUAUUCCAGAUAUAUAGCUUUCAACAUUGCUGUCACCUGCUCCCAAGAGCCAAGGGAGGAGUUGCCAGCCUCGGUUAUGGUACAAAGUGCCAAAAAUUACUUGAACUGCAAAAUAGCUCACUCUAAAAUCCUAUCAUGGCCCAGGAUUAGAAAACCACCAGAAAAUAAGGAGGCAAAGUAAAAACUAAUAAAUAACUGAAGACACAGUUUGAGUGUUCCUGGAGCACACUCCUGUAUCAGGCUCACCAGUCAGCAUUACAAAAAGAAAAGCACUGAUCAGGACAUUAUUUGACAUGCUAUGUCCCCCUCCUGCCUGUGGCAUAUACUGUCACUUCUAUACUACUGCUUUCCUGGGAUUUGAGUUAGUGGAGUUGUCAUGCACCAAAGAAGAAAUUCUUACAGAACAGCUAUCAACAGACCUGAACAGAUAACUUGGAAAGUUUGCCAAACAGGUCUUAUUCUGGAUCCCAACCCUCCCCAAGAAAGAACAGAGUGAAAAACAUGUGGAUCAGAUGGGGUUUCUCUCUGACUUGAGGUUUGAGAUAUUAUAAUUUGUUGAAACAGUGAAUUCCAAGAAAGAAGUCCAUUUCUUAGAAAGAAGUCCAUUAUCAUCUGGUAUUAGGAUUCUGGGAUCUGGGAUCUCCACAGUGAAAGAAUGAAUAGUUUCCUUGACCACAGACUUGGCAAGGAGAAAUCAGCCAGAAGCCUCGGGAGACCUGCCAGACCUUAACCUGAGCAUGGUCUGAGGGCAGGCAGUGCACAGAUCAGGGCAAGGUUAAGGUGCACAGAUGCUCUUGAAGGUCUGUUGCCUUUUGAUAUUUAUGAGGGUAAAAGCUUGUGAUUGGGCCUGAUGGUUAGAUUUUGCUUAUUCCUUGUCCAUUUGCUGACAAUUCAUGGAUCCAGUGCCAUUGUUUAAAGGCAAGUAAGGCCUCUAAUAUCCUUUGGUGGCCUCUUUGCAUAUGAAUGACAUGGUAAAUGCUGAAAGCUAUGGUUUUAUCUCAGUGGCAAGCAGAGAAAUAAUGGUGGUUCUUGACCCAGUAGGAUACAUCCUGAACAACUUAGUUGAUUCUUUUAUGUAUUAUUCCAGAAAUGAAGGCUUGUGGAAUCUUAGCAGUGUUGAGAAAUGAAUAGUAUUUUCCCUUGUAAACCAGUCUUACUAAAGCUUCAGCUAAUUAGUAAGGACAUGGUGGUAGUUUUUAAGGAGCUAAUAGAAACCUGUUUUAGCUGGGCACCAUAACCAAGGCCUGUAAUCCCAGCGGCUGCACUGGAGGCUGAGGCAGGAGAAUUGGAAAUUCAAAGCCAGCCUCAGCAACUUAGCAGAGGCCCUAAGUAACUCAGUGAGACCUUGUCUCUAAAUAAAAUACAAAAUAGGACUGGGGAUGUGGCUUAGUGGUCAAAUGCCCCUGAGUUCAAUCCCCAGUAUCCUCAAAACAAAUAAAUUAAAAAAAAAAAAAAACUUUUAAUAUUAUGGAGAAAACAGCUUAGAGGUUGUUGAUAUGAACAAUAAGUAGUUUUAUAAAUAACUCUAUAAUGUGUUACAAUCCUGGUUAAUUUUUACUACUGUUUGUAACCUGUGCUCAAUUUAGGAGUACUUCCUCCCUAUAUUACUCAGGGUUCUCUAGAGGAACAGAAUCAAGGGAAAGUAGAAUUAUAAAAAGGGAUUUAUGAGGUUGGCUUAUGGGACCAGAAGCUGAAUAAUCCAAAAUGGCCAUCUGCAGGCUGGAGAGGUGGAAGAACCAGUCCAAGAGGCUGAAGCCCUAGAACAAGAGGAAUCAACAGUGCCACCCUAGUCUGAGACAGAAAGCUUCUGCAGAAUCACUGGCAGAGUCCACUUUGGAAGAGUAAAGAAGCAAGAGUCCAGUACCCUCAGAGGAUUGCAGCAGCAAUCAAGAACCCAUUCAAGAAGAACUGAGCUUGCACCUCCUACUGAUUCCUUGUUCUUCCAAUUUUUAUUCCAUCCAAGCCAUCAUCCUAUUGGAUGGUGCUGCCCACACUUAAGGAAAGUCUCCAUUUCUGUUGUGUAUCCCACAUGCCAAUCAUUCCUAGACACAUCCUCAUUGACACACCCAUAAACCUCUUAAUCCUCAGCAUUUCUUAAUCCAAUUAAGUUGACAACUCAAAUUAACCAUUACAAGUAGUUUUAUAAAUAACUCUGUAAUAUGACUUAUCUUGUUUAGUUUUUACUGCUGUUUGUAACCUGUGCUCAAUUUUGGAGUACUUCAUUCCCUAUGAGGGACACCAGUGUCUCAUUUUGUAAUCUCAACACUAAACCAAUUAAACUCGUGAAAAGGGUAAUAGUGAUAAAUUUUUAUUUUCAAAAUGAAUCACUUAAAUAGGCUUGAACUAGCUAACAAACUGUCCCCAUGAGAAGUUACGAGAUUACUUGUAAUUUCAUAACAGAUGAAAUUUCACAGCCAUCAAAACAUCCACUAAGCUGAUGCACUUAAACUUUGCCCUUAUCACAGGAGUGUAAACUAUUUUUCUAACAUUAGAAGUUUCAUUUCAUUUGAGCAAAUAGAAAUUAAUUUCAUUUAUUCAGCAAUAAUGCAAAACAUAAACUUCUUAAUCAACUUUGCAUUUAUUAAACAUUUAAAUACAUGUAAAGAUGUUACAAAAAAAGUUUUCUUCUAAUUUUGAUCUUCCUGUUCCUCCGUCAGCCUCUCUCCCAAAAGACAUAAACUUCAAGUUAAUGUUUUGGUGAAUUCCAAUGAAUCAACAUUGGUAAUUAGCUGAGCUUGAGGGUUUUGAAUCAUAUGAUAUGUAUCUAGUUUAAAUGUGAUAUUUUAGGCCAUAAACAUAUAAAUCCUUUGUAAAAAAAAAUAAAUAAGUAAAAUUAUAUUUAAAGUCAAUAUUUACACAAAAUCUGAAUCAUUUUUGUUAAAAUCUAGAAUUUUAUAAUUCACAGUUUGAAAAUCAUCCUAUAGGAUAAAGUUAAUUCUAUCCUUUAAAUCUUGUAUCCAAUGCUUUUAGCCCCUUCAUUUCUUCAGCAGUCUGUAGUUCUAACAAACACCUAUGAAGGUGAGUGACAGAACACAGGAUUUGGAGAAAAAGACUCAGUGGGAAAGAGGCAGAGAACAGGAUGCCUUAUAUAACCCUUGAAGUUAUCAACUGGAUCAAAAUCACUCAUGAUACUUUUAAGAGACUUAUAACUAGAAUCAUCCCACACUUACGAAGUCAGAAUAUCUGUGGUUGAAAUGUAGACAUCUACAUUGUGCUUAAAACUUCACAGAUGGAUUUGAUGAGCCAGGAUCAUGAACAUGGCAAAUGUUUUUGUCAUUUUCAGUGUUAUAACCAAUAUCACAUUAAUCUCAAAAAUUAAAAAUAAGGGCUCAUAUGGACUAUGAGUGCCAAAAAAAUUAAAGGGGAGGGUGAGAAGAUAAAACUUAAAUUACUAAGUUUUAUCAGAAAGGUUAAGUAGCUGUUCUAAGAACUAAAACCAAAAUUUGCACUCAAGUGUUCUAAUUAAGUAACCCAUGUUCCAUUCAUCAGAAGUAGCUCUCAAAAGGGUUAUGUAAGAUCAGGAGGUAAGUGAAUGUCUGCAGAAAGUGGGCUUGAGAAUUGUGGUCCAAAGAAAGUUGAUACAACCUCAUGCAAAUAUUGAAUAUAUUCUUUGAUGAAUGCUUUUUUAGCAAGAUAAUCCUUCUCAGACUUAUAUUAACAAAGUAUUGUGUUUGCCAUUCUUGACUAGAGACCUGUGAAGACUUUGAUAUUACAGAUAUUCACUGUCCACUUGUGGUAGGAGACAUCAACCAGCAAGACCAGAAGUAAAUUAAUUAUGUAGGUGUUAAAGUUACCUUGAAAUAUUCAGACAAAUAAAUUUAAAAAACACUGUGUCUCCUUUUUAUCUUUCAAAGCAUGGGUGUUUCAUGGCUUUUUCAAUAUGUCCCAGAUAAUUUUCUGUUUGACUCACUAAACCAAUUUCCCAUUCUUUCCCACCUUGCUUUCUUUCUUAGGAAGUUGACCUGUUUGGACAAUAUUAAUGGUGGGUUUUCUGUCACUGUGAAAAAAUGCCUGAGAUAAAUGUCUUUUUAAGGAGGGAAUGUUUAUUUUGGUGCAGUUUCUGAAGUUUCAAUCCACUGUCAUUUGUUCCUAUUUUCUUUGGGCCUCUAUUGAAACAGUACAUCAUGGUGGAGAGUGUAUGAUAAAGGAGGUUGUUCACUUCAUAGCAAUGAGAAAGUAAAGAUAGCAAAAGGGGUCAGGGUACAAAUAUCCCCUUUAAGGGCACAUACCCAUUGACCUAACAUUCUUCUACUAGGUCUCACCUCCUAAAUAUUCUACCAUCUUCUAAAAGUGCUACAAGCUUGUCAAGACUACAUGACCUUUGGGAGAUAUUUAAUAUCUAAACCACUAUGGUGGAUCUCAUUACCCUUUGGUUCCUGGUCAAUAAAAUGGAGGAAAGUAAAUUUACCUUCUUUUGGAGUUGCCUCAAAUGGCUGCAUUCUUCAACCAAAAGUCCCUGAUCCUCUUCCAGUGACUUUCUCUCUAGAUUAUGUUCUGGAUUCUGGAAAUUUCUCCCUCCUCUUCUUCUGCCAUGCUCAACUACUAGCACUGUUAUUAGCCCAGGUUACCCUACACUGUUCCUUGGUUCCUUGUACUAUUCCUAUCAUUUGCAAACAAUCCCUUUAUUUAAGCCCCUUAGGAUGAUUGUUAUUUAAAUGUGUUGUCUGUUUUCUGCAGAUUUGCUGAUUGAUAAAAAAUACCAUGUUCCAUUUCUAUGGAAUUUUAAAAGAUAGCUAUAAUUUAUCCCUGAGAUCAGCUUUUGGAUUUAUAUUCACAUAUUGUCAGAGUGAAUUGAUUUGAUUUUGUUCAUUGGAAAUUCGAACAUUAAUAAAAAUCAUGAAAUAUAAUUGUGCAGCAAAUACUGUAGACAGAAUUUUCCUAAACUCUUAAGGAUUUAAGUCAAUACAUCUAUCUUUGGAUCAAGAAAAAUUGACUCAAAGCCUCAGAGGGGAGAAGCCCUAACUAGCAUUAUGUUAAUUUCUGGGGAAAAAAACAUCUCACCCAGAGUGGAAAAGGAGGCAAAUUCCAAAACAAGCAGGUCUUGCGAUUAUGAGUACAAUAUAAAGAAUGUGUCCCCCUUUCAUUUCUAGUAUGAUAUUUUCAUGUGUUACACGUCAGUUAUUUGAACUGUCCUUGUUGUUAAAUUAGGCAAAAAGAACCCUGUUUAUUUCUGUUAAAGGUAGUAAGAGAAAUAAAAAAUACAUUUGUCAGUCUUUUAGUUGCUGGCCUGAGUUUCAAAUUUGGUCCAGAAUUUUCAUCUAAGUUAAUCUAACCAAAAGGGAGAACCAUCUCUGAGCAGACCAAAAUAUGGAUGUGGAAAAGCUUGCAGCUAUUAUGAACAUAAAAUAAUUAUUAGAAACUAUUUUUAUGAGUUAUGUAUAAAUAAAUAAGAAACAUAUGGAAUAUAUUUCCCUGGAAAUACACUCUGGUUUGAAAUUAAAAAGAAAAAAAAAACCAUGUUGGCAAAAAACUAACAAGAAUUUGCCAAACCCCAACAGUUGGAAAAAUAGCUUGAAACAUUUGAGGAACCCAAACACGGAUGAGUUUGCCCUAGUUAGAAGGCCUUUUACGGUCAGAUGAAUGUGGGUAACAGUAGAGGAGGUGGGGUGGAAAAACAAAUCAUGAAAAACACACGGUUUGGCAUUAUUCCAUUCUCUUUAGCGGAAACUCAGAUUAAAAUAUUCCACAGAACAUACCUGACUCAAAUCUUCACACCAAACAAGCUCAAGAAUUCCCCAGAUAGUUGACCCAAUUUGAAAAGUUUUAACAAGUUAGUAUCUCCACAUAGCCUGGCCUGUUACUCUGUUGAACAUAAAUUCUAGAUUUAUAAGUCAUGUUCAAAAAGUUCAGAAAGCAUAAGAGCAAACACAAGUAGGAAUCCUGUAAUGGAGGGAAGAUUAAGAGGGUUGUUGAUGCAUCAAAAGUGAAAUUCUAAGUGUGUAAUUUAAAAAAUACAACAUGGAGAAGAACUGUCGACUUUUAAAUCUGGGCUAACAGCUCUUGAUACAUGAAUUUCUGCAAAUCAGGAGAACAAAAGAGGAAAGAGGUGGUUACUAUAAAUAAAUAAUAAUUGACAAAACUACUGAAAGAAUUUCCAGCAGAAAACUGGAGGCCUUUGAGAAAGGCUGCGAAUAGUCAAAAUUUAUCAUUCAGUCAACAACUUUGUAUUCUGAAUUAAAAAAAAAAAAAAACAACUGAACAGAUGAGAUAGGAAAUUUUUUGCAUUAGUUUAAGGACCAGGAUUCAAAAUCAUAGACAUUUUUAAAUUAUCUUUGUUAAAGAUGAUAAUUUUUCAACUCAAAUUUACUUAGAUGAAAUAAAAGUCUUAAAAUUAGUGGGAAAAAUAGCAAAGGACAUUAACUUUUUGACGUGUUUCAAUGACUAGGCAGGCUGUAUUUUAUAUUUCAGGACAAAGUUCCUAUAGGUAUAUCAUUCACAAUUCAUGGAAAAUGUGAAAACUAGAAGAUAAUAAUACAUUAUUUUCAUUUUUAAAGCAGUUAAGAGUGUAAAUCUGAAGAUUUCAAAUUUGGGUGGUAAACUUACAUAGAGCAUUCACAGUAUUUUAGAAUAUCAAUUUAAAAGCUUGGAUAAUUUCUAGCUUUUAUUUCAGUUUGACUCAGGAAAAGUUCUCUAGGAGGCCUUUGUACAGAACCUGCCUGCCCCAAGGAUAACUUCUCAUAUUCAUGAUUCUGAGAGGGAUUAUCAAGAAAGGAACACAUGUGGAAAAGAUAUGAAACAGAAAUUGAAAAAGGAAAAAAUACUUUUAAAUAAACUAAGACUGGAUAAAUUCAAAUAUAUAAUAUUUUAAAUGAGCAAAAGAAGGAAUUGGUUUGAAAUGUCUGUAUAUUUAUUCCUACAGUUAUGGUUUAGAGGUGGUGUCCCCCAAAAGCUUACUCAUAUGUAAGAUAAUACAAGGAGAUUCAGAGGAGAAAUCAUUGGGUUGUAAGAGCCUUAACCCAGUCAGUGAAAUAAUCCCCUGAUGGGGAUUUACUGAGUUAUAACUGAAGUGGUAGGGUAUAACUGGAAGAGGUAGUAACUGGAGGCGAGGCUUUGUGGUAUAUAUUUGCAUCUGGCAAGUGGAGACCUCUCUCUCUGCUUCGUGAUCACCAUUAGAUCUGCUUCCCUCUGCCACACUCUUCUACCAUGAUGUUUCGUCUCACCUCCAACCUCAAGGAAUGGCGUCAGCCUUCUUUGAACUAAGACCACUGAAAUCAUAAGACCUCAAAUAAAAUUUUCUUCCUCUACAAUUGUUCUGGUUGGAUCGUUUGGUCACAGCAGCAAAAAAAGGUGAUUAAAACACCUACUAAAUACUUCUGACUCAAAAUUAGCCAUUUCUCUUCUUAACAGUGAUUCACUGUUCCAAUAAUGCUCAUGGCCACAGCCACAUGAUAAUUCAUCAAGAUCAGACAUGGGGAGUGUGCACAGUGGAGCAGUUUCAGUGUUGGAGAACAGCACAGACUUAGGGAAGAAAUGUUUUAUGUUAGUGUUAUUUAAGAAACUAGCCAUAGAAUUCAAGUUCCACGUAGAGGCAAGUAGAGCCAAAGUACAGCUCACAGGAUGAUUUAUUCAGCAUAAAUUAAAUGAAGGUCUACUCUGUGACAGAAUCUGUCCUAAUCACUGAUCACAAUCGUCAGUUUUGUGUCUGCUGGACUAGACUCUCAUUCCCAGGUCCCAGGUAUUCAAUAGAAUAAUGAUCUAAGUGAUGCUACAAAGAUAUUUUGUGGAUGUGAUCCAGAUUUAUAAUUAAUUGCCUCCAAAUGAAACAGAUUUUCCUACAUGGUUUGGUACUCUUUUGGGUUAAUUUAAAGGGCUGCAGAGUUGAAGUGUUCCUGAAGAAGUAAUUAUGACUGUGGAAUGCAAUUCAUCAUUGUGCUUGAGAGUUACAACCAGCCCUUCCUGAUGGCCUGUGCUAUGGAGUAUGAAUUUACCUUACAAGCCCCACAAAGUACAUAAGACAGAUUUUUGUAUAAUAAAUUAAUCAUCAACUAUUGGUAGAUAAAUAGAGAUACCCUAUUCAUUCUGUUUCUUUGGUAGAGACUUAAACUGAUAUGAUUUUAGUAAAAGGGGUUAGGGUUCAAGGUACAAAUGUAAAACAUAAGCAAAUAUAUAAAAGGGGUUUUGAUAUUUUGUAAUUAGUAGGGACUAGAGGAUUUUCAGACUUGAUAUAAAAACCCUAGAUUACCUUGAACAAAGUGCUGGUAGAGAUAUGAAUGUUAAAGUUACUUCUAGAAAAGCUCAGAAGUGUUAUGUUAUGGGAAAUCAAAGGAAUGUCAAUACUUAUUGUAUAGUGGCAACUUAUUAACUGAAUUGCACUCUAUAUUUAUGUGAAAAGGAAAAUGUGUAAGUGAUGAACUUGGAUAUUUAUCUGAGAUUUCAAGCAAAAUGUUCAAAGUGCAGUUUGAAUGUUGUUUUAUUUUCCUGUAUUAGUAAAGUAUGAGUGGAAAGCAGUAAACUGAAGAAAGAAUUGUUAUAGAAAAAAUAAAAAGAGCCAACACUUGAUUAACUGGAGAAAUUCUCAUCAAAUCCAGACUACAAAAGAUGGCAAAAUUCAAAGAUACUUGAUUGGUAAAGUAUACUCUGGAGAGAAGUUCCAAAGUGUUGCUAUGCAACCUCCUUUCAGUGCUGAAGAGAUUUGGUAUAUGUGAAUCACCUCAGCCAUCUCAGCAAAAGAUAAGAAUACAGAGAGGAUUAACCAAGAAAGAUUUUACAAAGACCGUCUCAUUGAACAAAGAACUCUCCAUGACAUAUACAGGAGAGCCACAACAUUUUUGAGAAUGUCAUAUCAGCAGGAACAUUGUCAGCUGGAACUGAAAGUAACAGAGACAGAAAAGGGACAGAAUUAACAAAGUUUGCCAGACUUCAAAAAUUGUAGAGACAAGAAACAGGUAGACAAAACUUACUCAACUUCAGAUAAGUUUUACCAUUGAAGAAAAAUCAGGUAUGACUCUCAAAGCAGUGUAAUAGGCCCACAGCUUUGGGCCACAAAAGAUCAUUCACAGGCCCUGAAACAUAAUGGGAUUUUUCCCACUGGAUUUCAAAAUUGGUUGGAACCAGCAACUCCUUUCUACCUUCCAUUUUCUUCUCUUGGGUAUGGGAAAUUCUAUAAUUAUUUUACUAUGUUUGCCCCACCAUUGUAUUUUGUGAACAGAUAAUAUAUUCUCUAUAUUCAUAGAUCCACAGAUGGAGAAGUUUGAAUCAUAGACAGAAUCUCAUGGAUUCUCACCUUAGGUGAUUUAGGUGAUGAGAUUUGGAAUUUUUCACCUGAAGACAUUUAAUAAGAUUUUGGACUUCAGCUUAUUCUGUAAUUGAUUGAGACCAUUAGAGAUAAUGGGAUGGUGCAUGUUUUAGUUAGUUUUUCCAUCAUGGUCAGAACAAGAACAACUUAGAGAAGGAAAGUUUAUAUGGGAUUCGUCAUUGCAGAGGUUCAGUUCAUGAUUGUCUAGCUGCAUUGCUCUGGGCCUGAGUUGAGACACCACAUCCUCAGGGAAGGGCCCAGUCAAGGAAAUCUGCGUUGCUGGUGGGGCCAUCAAUCAGACAGAGAUGGUAAAGGGACCUCAGGGGAAAUGCAUCCUUCCAGGACACAUAUACUCGAAUGACCCACCUCCUGCAGCCACAAUCCACCUAUCUAUAGUUACCACACAGUCAUUCAAACUAGGAUGGACUGUUUAGGUUACAACUCUUACAAUCCAGUCACUUUACCUCUGAACAUUGCUGCUUUAACACAGGAGAUUUGUAUCCAAAUCAUAACAAUGCAAAUGUAUUUUGCAUAUGAGAUGGAUAUGGAACUUCAGUGAUGGGGAGAAGAGGAUUAAAUUAUAGGAGAUUGAAUGAUGGUCUCCCAAGAUUCUAGUCCUUGGAAGAUGUGGUAACAUAAUUAGGAGGAAAUAUUUAUAGAUAUGAUUAAGUUAAGAAAGUUGAGAUGGGGGAUUACCCUGGAUUAUCUAGUUGGGCCAUAUAAAUGCCAUCACAUUUCUCUUUAUAAAGGAAAACAGAAAUUUGACACAGAUGGAGAGGAGAAAGCAGUGGGACCAUGUAAGGAUGCAACCAUAAACCAAGAGAUGCAAAGAGCCACCAGAAGCUGGAAGACAUAAAGAACAGCUCCUCUCCUCAAAUGAGGCAGGAAAGUAGACCACCCAUAGGUAGACAGGGUAAGGGCCUUAGAAAAGGGAAGGAGGGAAGGAUACCAUGCCAUCCUAGAAGAAGACAUCAGCCCUAGAGAACACCCUGUGUCUGCCCUUGACAAUUACAACCACAACAGUUCCCUCUUGGCUAGAACAUCUUGUCAUUGCCUCUGACAGCUUCAAGCACAACUGUUCUAGUAGUUACCCCUACCCCUAGCCCUAGCAAUAGUCAACCACAAAAUCUACCCCUGCCCCAAGAAAUUCCUCUUGGACUAACAAACCCUCCCUCCCACUUAUGCUGGUAAAGGCUUAGAAAUCACUUUUCUCCAUAUUUGCUAAAGAAGACAAAAUAGAGUUGAUUGUUCCUUUUCUGGGUCCUAUAUUUACAUAUUAUCCAACCAAUCACCUAGAGUGAAGAUCAAGUUCACAAAAAAACUAAACAAAAGGCACACACUGGCAUCCCACUUUUGAGACUCCUCUGUAUUCAAGAGCCCUGCUUUCUUUUCUUUUCUUUCUUUCUUUUUUAAUUUUUUCCUAUUAUUCUAAAAAUUCCUGUUACUUUGCUCUCAUUCUUGUAUCUGUGGAUUUCAUUCUUCAAAUUUGUGAGUCAAAGAAUCCACCCAUCAAUGCUCCAUUUUAUAAAACCACCUGUUGAAAGCAGUCCUCAGAAGACUUGAGUUGGUUCAGCGACUUUUUAAUUUCUCACCUCCAUAGCUGUACAUUAUUUCAAGUCACUCGGUUUGUGAUAAUUUGUUGAAGAAGACACAGGAAACUAAUAAAGAUACAAAAAAGAGUAGGACAAGGAUUCUUCCACAAAGAUGGUCACAGUCUUAGGGUCCAAAGGCAUGUCAAAAGUCAUUGAAGUAAGAGUUAGAAGGGCACACAAGAGAAAGGAUUCGUUUCUCCUUGAGUCAGGGUGCAAAUCACAAAUGUUUUUCAGCUUAGAAAUUAGAUGCAUUUUAUCCAGAAAAAUAAUAGAAAGAAGGUGAUUAAACUAACAAAAACAAAGUAAAAAGGCACAGAGGUAAUGAAAGUUUGCCUUUCUUUUGUAUCCACACAAUGGAACUGAAACUUAUUUGACUGGAGAAAUGAUGAGUGAAAUGAUAGAAAUGAAGCUAAGGAGGUAAGCUGAAGACACUGAACUUUACCUAAGACAUGGAGAACUCUAGAAAGACUUUUAAAGCAGUAAGUCAACAGGGUUUUACAAAAUACUAUUUGGUUCACAUUUUAGACUGUUCACCAUAGAAACCACGUACAGAAGAAACUAGAUGGGGUCAGACAGAGACCAGGAGGCCAGGUAAGGAACAAUGGCAACACCUGUGGUGAGAUAAUAUGACAGAGGGGAGAGGAGAGGAACUUAGAGUUAUUUUUGAGGUCAAAUUUCUGGGACUUGCUGACCAAAUAAAUAUUAGGAAUGAGAAAGAAUCCAAGGCUUUUUACUGCAACCAGUGACCAGAUACAAUGUCAUUAGCUGAAAAAAGAAUGAUGAGGGGAACUGUGGACUGUUUACACCAUUCAUUCAUUUACUUAAUAAAUAUUUACUCUCCACCUACUUUGUCCCGACUCUGAGCUAGUAAUGUUCAGUAAUGUUCCAGAUGCUUAAUGGGGUCAAUUAACACAAGCAAGGUGAGGAAGGAUACGAGUCACUGAGACACUUAUGCCAGUUUUUGUUUAUUUUUGUUUUGGGGGAUUUUAUUAUUGGUUUUGAUUUAGAUUUUUGAGUGGGUGGGCAGUGUGGGAAGGAGAGAUUGUAGGUGAGGUGGUUUUAAUUGGGGAUGAUGAUGAUCUUGGAAUUGAGGAAGGUGAAGAAUUGUCACUACUAGGGCUGAAUCAGAUGUCAAUAACAAUGUCAGUGUUGCCUUGGAUACCAAUGAACUUGAUAACGUUUUUUGCUGAUGGAUUGUCUAUGAAAGCCUUUGCUUUAAAUAUAAAUGACACACCAUAAGCAGAGUCUCUAGUGAAUACUCCAUAGCAUUGCUACUGUGUGGUCCUGCAGUAGAGCCACAUUGAAUUAUUAGAGGCCCUACAAACUACUUGGUACUAUAAGAAAAUGACUUCCACUCCACAAGACAUUGCUGCAAGGGAAAUGUUAUUGUAAUAGAUAUGGAAACUGGUAGUUUUCUCAUUUUAUUACAUGAAUAAAAUAUUAUUUGGGACAUUUUAAUAGAUGAGGAAUUUCACUGGCAGAAUUGAGAUUCAAACCAAACAUGUGACUCUUCAAACCCAAAGUCAUGCUGUUCCCAGCCUUUUGAGCUUCCUUAUAAACACUCAGCUUAAAAUCCUAAAGUAAUCAACUCACAUAAUUCUUCUGGUGGCUUUGACCUAGAUUCAGUUCUUUGGAAGAAAAAAAAUUGUACUUUUUCUAUUACCAUCAAAUUUUAGCAUAAUCAUAGGCAUUGUCUUUAGUGGGUUUGAAGAUCAAGGAGAACAUGAGCACUUCAACUGGAGAUGCCACAUCUUUGGAAAUUCAAAGGACAUUUAUACUUUUUAACCAAAGUGUACAAUUGACCAUAAUAUUCAAGCUAAAUAAAAAGUUAUAGCAUAAAAUCAUUCGAUGAAAAAUGAUUUUUGUUGUUUUUUAAGCAUGAAAGGUUGACAACAUGGACUUAUUGACUCUCCUUUAUUUUUUCAUAAACACUAAAAGUUAGAAUAAUUAAUCAAAUUAUUCUCCUGGUCUUCUGGGCCAGUUUUUUUCAUCCCUGUCACACCCCUCACCUCUCCAAUAUCUCCUUUCUUCAUUUUUAGCCAACAUACUUGUUUCCUAUAUAUUGAGAAAACAGAACUCCCCAAACUACGAAUUUUAUCUAAAGUGUGUUUAGCUCUGUUGGAUAAGCAUUUGUCCCUGUUUAUCCUAGGGAAUUUGUUUCUGGACACCCCCAGACCACAAAACCCAAUGAUACUGGAAUUCCUUAUGUAAGAUAGCAUCCUAUUUGUACAUAACCUACACAAUCAUCCUGCAAACUUUAAAUAAUUUCUAGACUAUUUUUUAAAUUUUUGUUAGUUAUUGAUGGACCUUUAUUUAUUUAUUUGUUUAUAUGUGGUGCUGAGAAUCAAACCCAGUGCCUCAUACAUGCUAGGCAAGCGCUCUACCACUAAGCCACAAUCCCAGCCCUCUAGAUUAUAUUUAAUAUCUAGUACAAUGUCGAAACUGAGUUCUGUAUGGUGCUGUUAAAAAAUAAUGAAAGGGAGAAAUUGUAUUGCUCAGUAUAGAUGCAAAUCUUUUCAAAUGUCUCCAAUCCAUGGCUGGUUGAAUUCACCAUUUAUUGAAUCCACUAAUGCAGAACCUAUGUUUACAGAGGGCCAACUCUAUACAGGAAGAAGAAAAGGGAGAAGUAUACAAGAUCAAUCUUUAGCUAUUGGGAAAAAUCAUUGGAUGAUGACGGAAAUUAGUAAAUCAAGAAAAAAAAUUAACACAACAUCUAGAUAUAUGGAAAUAAAUAUCUAGUUAGCAGUCAAAACACUUUAAAAAUGCAAACAGUUGCUUCUGAGGAAUACAGCUAGUGGGUCUACAUAUGAAUGGGGAUGCUAUUUUUUUCACCUAAGCCUUUUAGCAUUUUUUCGGAUCUAGGGAGCAAACAAACAAAAACAAAUAAAAUUGUCAAAUGAAAGGCUGUAAGAAAAUACAUGCAAAUUAUAAUUGCUUUAUUAUUAAGGUGUUAUUCUGGAUAGGUACCAUGUUUUUCUCAACUUUUUUCAAUGUUAUGCAAUCCAAACGAUUUACCAAGAAGUCUUCAUAAGGAGUACUUUCUUUUAUAUUUUAUUCAACUUUAGAAACAGUUUAAGUGCCCUUUAAAAAAGUAACACAUUGGUGAGGAAAGGGGAAAGUACUGGAAUUUUUUGUUUGUGUAUAUUAAACCUUAGUGCUAUAGCCAGGGUAAGGGAUUACUCUUAGCUGGGGCCAUUAUUGGACUCAACACAAGAUGAGGGGCCACAGAAGUAUUUAUCAGCAAUAAAGGAGCUGCCAUUUUUAUCAGGAAAUUGACAACACCAAAGAAAGAAAGUACCCAGGAGUGUUGUCAGCACUGGAAAGUGGGUAAAUUGGGGUGAUGAUAGGUCCAGUUUCUUAUCUGCAGAACCAGUGACUAGACCUUAGUCCAUGACAAUUCACCAAAGUGAUUAGAAUCUCUGAGCUGUUUAGGUGGAUAGCAAGAGGACCUCAGAAGGUGGUGCACUGAUACCUCUGAAUGAUAACCCAUCAGAAUGUAUCAACAAGAUAUGUUCUUGACAAGGACAGCUUUGGAAUUCAUGAAAAUGGCUCGGUUUCUGAAUCUCUAAUUUAAAUUUCACAUUAUCUGUACCCCAGAAACAAAGAUGAAGAUGAUAUUUCUUUCAAAGCCUUUGCCUUUGCCUUCUAUAAUUUUCAUAGAUCAUUCUAAUACUAAUAAUGUUGAAUUCUAAUAAUGCUGAAUUCUAAUAAUGUUGAAUUUCAAGCUAAUCACACAGGCCAUAGAUUAAAUGAUUAAAGUGGAUUUCAGUUUUCAAAUGAAAUGUUGUAAUAAAGAAUAGUUUCCUAUUAACAGCCUGAUGCUCAUAUUUUGCCAUUGAUCAGAACAUCUAUAAAAAUUAAAUAUUUGUCAUUCUUAUAAACAAAUGCUACAUAGCAUAAAGACUUUCAGUAUAUAUUAUUAACAUAUUUGAACAAUAAAAUAAUUAGACACAAUGAGCUUCCAGAGAAAAAAGAAUAUUGAUUAAUAAAAAUAAAAUAGGAGGGGUUGGGGCUGUGGCUCAUUGUUCGAGUGCUUGCCUAGCAUGCGUGGUGAGGCACUGGGUUCGAUUCUCAGCACCACAUAUAAAUAAAAUAAAUGUCCAUCAACAACUAAAAAAUUUAAAGAAAAAAAAAUUUUAAAAAUUUAAAAAAGAUAAAAUAGGAUUUUGAAUGGGAAAAUGUUUACAUUAGUUCCCACUCUGAUAUACAUGAGCUUUUUGGUUUUAUUCAAGUCACAUGUCACUUUAUAACCUAAAUGUACUUAUAAGCAAAAUACAGUUUGUACUGUCUCUCUCAAAAUCUCUUAAGGGAUAAAAUAUACACAACUACCCAAAAAGAUUGCUAUAGUGAUUGCUCAAAAUGUUUGAUUAGGCUGGGGUUGUGGCUCAGUGUUAGAGCACUUGACUGGCACAUGUGAGCACUGGGUUCGAUCCUCAGAACCACAGAAAUAAAGAAAUAAAGAAAGAAAGAAAGGAAGGAAGGAAGGAAGGAAGGAAGGAAGGAGGAAGAAAGGUAGGUAUUGUGUCCAUCUACAACUAAAAAAAUUCUUUAAAAAAUGCUUAAUUAUUAGUACAAAAUGAAUCACGUGAGCACAAAGGUAUAAAGCAAAGCUUUAUAUAAUGUAGCUGACAUUGUUAUUAUCCCCCCACCCCCUUCUUGAUUAUUGACAGGGAAUGGUUGAGACAAAGCACCAAGAAGAACCCAGGCAGGGAUAACUGACUGGGCUAUCAAGAGGUCAUUGAAGUCAUGGACCCAGGACAUAGGGUCUUAAAUAUUAGUGCAGGUCAGAGAACAGACAGUGCCAAUGAUGCAGUUCUGCGUGGCCUUCUGCCAGGGCUCUGAGUAAGUGGAAGAGCACUGAGCUGGUGACUCAUUAGCAGUCAAGUUGCUGUAAGUGGGGAACCACCUGUAGUUAAGACAAGUGCCCCAUUGAAUUUAGGAGAACAUGAGAAAACUCAGGAAAGACUGAUCUCUUUGACGCGAGGUGCAAAGUCUUCAGUUCAGGCUCACAUUGCUUUCUAGGAAUUCCUUCUGUCCAUGCCUGUGUCUGGUGAAAACUUCUCUUCCAAGCCUACAUUUUUGGAGGAAACAGGGACCGAGGAAUUGGAGGUCCCUAUAGCUACCUGUACUUAGGUGCUGCCUUCUUAAAAACACUGAGGAAUAUGGAUUACCCUUAAAUGAAAAGUAAGAGGAAAGAAAAGAAGGGAGGAAAGAAGGGAUGGAAGGAGGGGAAGGGAAGAAGAAAGAAAAAUUAUUUCCCUUUAGUUUUGUGUAUAACCCACAGACAGGAAAGGCCCUGGUACUUAGAGUUUUGUCUCAGGUAUACUUAAAUUAUACUUAAAUUCAGUUUUCUAAACCCAAACACUAUCACCAUUCACAGUAUCCAUGUUUCUUUCCCCCAUCUUCUCCAGAGCACUUUCCCUAUCAUGGAAGUUAAAUCCUGAGUAGACAUUAUCAUUACUACUUGAUAGUUUUCUGUCUCUUCUGACUUCACUGUUUUAUCUUUAUUAGCUCACUAGUUCCCUCUGAUCCUCCAACUGGACCUGAAUCAGGCUUCAUUUUCUCCUAUUUUGUUUUUCUAAACUUAAAAUAUUCACACACAAACACAAAGAUUCUGGCUCCUGCCACUCCCUUUUCUUUCUUCUCAUUUCUAAAUUUCCAACAACCUUAGUCCUCCUAUUUUCUCUGUGUUGUCUCAUGGUUUACUGGGGUUGUAGGGCUUCAAAAAAGAAUAAGAGAUAGUACAAGAUUCUUGUCACAUCCUAACACAGUUACAUCCAUUUUCUUUCAGAGCUAGGUAUAUGUUAGUUCAGGACCUCCUAGCUCUGAGGGGCUAGGUUGAGAAAUAAACUGAGAUCUGCUUUAGUUCCUCCUACAUGUGAUCUGAUGUUUGUCUCUAGCAGCCUUUAAAAAUUCUAUCCUUAUUCUGUAUGCUAGGCAUUUUCAUGAUAAUAUGCCUUGAUAUGGUUCUGUUGUAAUUUUGCACCUUUAAGGUUCAAUAAGCCUCUUGUAUUUGGUGUUCCAUUUCAUUCUUUAGAUCUGGGAAAUUUUCUGAUAUUAUUUCAUUGAAAAGAUUGUGCCUUCCUUUGGUUUGUAUCUCCAUGCUUUCAUCUAUCCUGAUAAAUCUUAAAUUUGGUCUUUUCAUGUUAUCUCAUAUUUCUUAGAAGUUCUGUUCAUGGUUUCUUAAAUUUUUUUUUUCUUUUUUUUAAAUUUUUAUUAUUAGUAGUUCAAAACAUUACAUAGCUCUUGACAUAUCAUAUUUUAUACAUUUGAUUCAAGUGGGUUAUGAACUCCCAUUUUUACCCAGUAUACAGAUUGCAGAAUCACAUCAGUUACACAUCCACAUUUUAACAUACUGCCAUACUAGUGUCUGUUGUACUCUGUUGCCUUUAAAAUCUUUUUUCCAUGGUCAACUCUAUUUUCAAGAUUAUAUAUUUUGUCUUCAUGGCCUGAGGUUGUCUUCCAAGUGAUCUAGUCUAUUGCUGGUACUUUCUACCGAAUUUUUAAUUUGGUUUAUUGUUUCCUUCAUUUCAAGAAUUUCUGUUUGUUUUUUCAGAGUUUCUUUAUUGAAGUGAUAUUUUGCUACUGGUAUUUGCUCUCUUAUAUCAUCCUUUACUUUGCAGAUCAGUUUAACUAUGUACAUUCUAAACUCCUUCUCUGACAUCUCUUACACUAUGGUGUCAAUGGAUUCUGUUAUUGGAAUGUGUUGGUUUGCUUGGGGCAAUUUGUUUCCUUGUUUUUUCAUGUUGAUUUUUGUGUCUACCCAUCUAACAGUAUGGAUCUUAGGCGGUAGAAUUUCUACUCUGUAAACUUAUAGUGCCCCUGAAGGUUUCCCGUACCUUACUGUUUAGGGAGAGACAAAUAAUAACAAUGACCAUUACAAACAAUUUUCAGCAUUAAACCAAAUAGUUCCUACUAUGAUAUCUUCAAUGUUAAUUAUCACAAUAAAUAGAAAUGAUAUGAUCAAUUACUGUCUAUAAUAAAAACAGCAAGUUUGCAAAUGGGUUUACAUUUUAAAAUGAUGGACAGGAGAGAACAGAAGUGAUAUAGGAUGUGAUGGUUAUGAGGGAGGAGGAGAGAAGACAGAAGUAUAAGUUUAAAGGAAGAGUGAAACAGAGAACAAGAGAAACAGGUAGGAGAAAACAGGUAGAGAUUGGCUAUUAGCAGAACAAAACAGAGAAUCAAGGGAAACAGGUAGGAGAAAAAAAUAUAUAUAAAGCAAAAAAAAUACAAAAAAAUACAAGACAAAACUAAAAUAUAUUAAUCAAACACAAAAAUUACUAGUUCACAAAAAACUAAUCCAUGUAUAAUAACUGGCUUCAAAAAUAUUAGAGAUGAGAAGGAAAAAAAAUAGGAAACUGUAUAAAUGUCCAUGAACCAUUAAGGUCACAAUUAAAUAGUGAAAAAGAAUUAAGAGAGGGAGAGAGAGAAAGAGAGGGAGGGAGAGAGAGAGAGAGAGAGAGAGAGAGAGAGAGAGAGAGAGAGAGAGAGAGAAGAAAAAAGAAUCUUGAUGAAAACUUAAAGAAUUCUUUCUGUUGGAUUUCAAAAUAUUAUCUGCUUCCCUUCUCACCAGUUUUAGGUGGGUUCUUCUGGAGUGUGAUGCUCCACACUCUGGAUUGCUAGAGUGAGAGAGAUAAUCCCACAGGCGGAGUUUCUGGAAGCAGGGUUUAUGCUUAGGUGGGCUUCAGGCUCUUUGCUGAAUGCUAAUUGAUCUGGAGAUUUUAAAUCAGCACAUCUCCAGUAACCAGUGUUUGCUGGUCCAUGCUGGGAGACUUUACCCCAGGGAUCUCCCUUGGGUUCCACUUGAGUGGUGGGGGACCCAAUUCUUUGUCCCCUAUGUCACCUGCAGACCCCUCUUUUCCUGGUCUUGGGUUAAGUCUUCAAUUUCUUCCAUCCCCAUGCUUCCAAGUUCCCAUUUCUCCAGCCAGUCCUGAAAGCAGUCAGGUUGGAGAGGGAGGGGUAGACUUGGGUGAAUUUCUGAGACCACUUGUCCCCUGUGUAAACCUCUUGCCAGGUUUGAAUUUCUUCUGGGCACUUAAGUACGCACUAUGUCGUUCUGUCGUGCAGUGUGUGUUUACCUGGCCUGUACUUGGGGCCAAACCCAGGUUUGCCAGGAAUGGGUUUUCUCAGUUGCCAGUCCCCACACCACAACUGCAAAAUCGUUCCUUCCUUUGUCCUCCACAUGCCUCAGGAGGGACGGUGGUUUCUUUCCCCAUGGAUGGAUAUGGAGGAGCAAGUCUCUCAGGUCUGUUGGGCAAUGUCCUUGGUCUCUAAAUGCUCUGUACCCAGACAUGCCUCAGGCCUCUCAAAAAUUCAGUUUCCUUUAAUUUGCUUAUCCCUCUGCUAUGCUCAUGGAGGGACACCUCUGGCUGGAGCUUCUGGCUGACUGAGGUAGAGGCUGUGUUGCAAGGAUUUUUUUCUUAUUUUAUUAUGUCCAACCUCCUUUGCCCCUGGUCUGUUUUGAAUGUCUAGUUUUAUGUCUCAGUGAAGUCUUUCCUUUUUUUUUUUUUGUUUUUGUUUUUGUUUACCCAUCUUUCAGAGAAGCCACUGCCUGCUUUUUUGAUUUCACUCCAUGGAGCACCCAGGAAUGUAACUCUAUUCUGCUAUCUUGGAUCUCUCCUCAUUUUAUUUUUUUAGUUAAAAGAAGGAAAAACAUAUAUGAUGCACCCUUUUUAUUUGUCAUAUGACAAACUUAAAUAUAUUUAUCUCUUUUUUUUGCAUUUAUAAGGUCUUGAUUUAACAUCUGAGCAGCCAUCUUAAAUGUCAACUGUCUUUCUUAUGAAGUAAGUUUCACUUUCCAGUAAUUCCUAUUACCUGAACUCCCCACAUCCCCAUUAGUGACCUACCCCAUGGUACCAUAACCCUGCGCCAAUUCCAGAAGGACAGGACCCUUUGCUCUGGAAAGCCCGUGGUGCCAUCAACCUAAGCCAAUCCCAUGCUAUUCCCACCCGCCCAGCUCUGACACAAGCCCCCUGAGCCUCUCCCACAGCACCACAGCUAUGACUCCAAACCCCUACCCCACAAAAGCUGAACCCCCGAACAUCUCAGGCCUCUCUCCUCUCUAUAGAGAGAUGGGCUUUAUUUUUCAGCUUUGACAGAUAAACUUUCAUGUGGAUCUCUGCCUGGUUUCAGUCCUUCAUUUCUUGCUCGCCUGUCUCUUGCUUUCUCUCUUCCCUUUCAGCAUUCAUUCUAUUUUUCCUGUGUGCUUAUCUUCCUUCUUCAUAAUUAAUAUUUUAAACAGUUCCUACAUAAGCUCCUCUUGACUGAUGAUAAAAUUCUUAAUCUUGGAAACAAAUAUUUUAACCUUUAUUUUGCACUUACUUGUGGAAGAUAAUAAGGUUGGUUAAACAAUUAUUUUGUUUAAACAAUUAUUUUCCCUUAGUCCUUUAAGGACUUUAAUUUGCUAUUUUUGUUAUGCAUUUUUGCUGACUCAGGUUCACUAAAGAUUUAUCAGUCUGGGUUUCCCCCCAUUCUGGUGGCUAUUAACAGUGACAGUAGUCUCUAUUGUUAGGAAGAGUAAGUGCAAAGAGCGUAAAUAGAAAUUAUUUGUACUAAUUCACUUUUGUACUCAGAGCAAACUUUAUAUAAUGAAUUUUGGAAAAUAGUCAAAUAUUUUCUCUUCAUAUACCACUCCUCUAUCAUUCUCUACAUUCCCUUAUGCUCUUGAGUUAUUCCUAAUUAACAUAUGCAUCUUUUACUGUUCUUUUACUUUUUCUUUCACUUAUGUACUGCACAUGAAUUCUUUUGAACCUUCUUUAAAAUCAUUAGCUGUGUUCUACUAUAUGUAGCUUAUGAAAUCCAUUACAAUAGGUUUACAUAGAAUAUUUUUGAUUUUCAAAAUUUAUAAUCAAUUCCUUUCCAUAGUUCUCUUUUUCAUUCUCUUUUUUUCAUUUCACCUUAAUGCAACUUUAUAAUAUUCUAUGCUUUAGUAGAAGUUAUUUCUACAUUUAUCUCUUCAAUUUUCUUAGAAACUUUGUUUAAAGUUUGUGUCAACCUCCCCUGAAGUGAAAUUCAUAUUUUUGUUAUACGUAUAGAUGCUCCUCAGCUUACAGUGGAGUAACAUUCUGAUAAACUAAUCAUAAGUUGAAAAUAUCACAAAUCGAAGAUGCUUUUAACACCCUUAGCCUACACAGCAUCCUAGGUUAGCAACACGGUGUGCCAUGUUCGGUUGCUUUCCUUCCUGAUCAUAUCACUGACACUGCCCUACAUCAGAGUGUCAGUUGUACCACAUUAUCACUAGCCUGGGAAAUGAUCAAAAUCAAGUUCUAGUUUCUGGUCUUGUUUUUAUUGAAUGUGUAUUGAUUUUAUACCAUCAUUCAGAAAAUUGCAAAUUAGACCAUUGUGAAUCAGGGAAAUCUAUGUACUUUAGCAUCUGAUUUAUUUCUUUCUUUCCUCCCUCCCUUCCUCCCUCCCUCCCUUCCUUCCUUCCGAACUUAGAGUCACUUUACCACGGAACCACAUUCCCAACCUUUUUUUUUUUGAACUGUCAUAUUUUAUUUUAUUUUUAUUUUUAUUAUUUUGAGACAGGGUCUCAAGAAGUUUCUUAGCCUUGCAAAGUUCCUGAUGCUGGCAUCAAACUUGGAAUCCUCCUGCCUCAGCCCACUGAAUCACUGGAAUUAAAGGCAUGCUCAACCAUGCCUAGCAUCUGAUUUCCGUGUAACAUCUUUCCCGUAUCUCAGUGGGGUUGUUUUCGUUUGAUUGCCUUUCCAUUCAUUUUCCUCUGUGCUAUUCUAUCUCUGCUUAACCAUCAUUAAUUGUUAAGAUUGCAUCAUCUGAGGGCUCCUGCUGAAAGAAACACUGGGGACCACAGACAUGUUUACCAAUCCACUAUGUUCCUGGGUUCAUCUUUUGGCUUCUGAGAUUGGUCUCAUCACAAACCUGGUUCAGAGCUUACUACAGUCCAUUGCUGCAGACAGCAGUUACUUGUCACUUUCUUAAACUCACUGACAAGACCUAGGGAUGUUGUCUUGAAGUUUCGGGUCUUGAGUAAUAAGGCUAACUGCAAGGCGCCAUUUAUUUAUAUCACUUUGUUUUUGCCCUAUUAUCCUUUAAGGACCAAAACUUUAGUUGUCACUUGUCUAUUAUAGAAUUCAAAACUACUGACUUUUGACUUAGAGUUUCUGAUCCAAAGAGGUAUUCUUUAAAGAAUGCUUAUUUCUCUUCAUUUUCUAUUUUAGCUUACCCAUCAUUAUUCCAUAUGUAAUUAUUAAUUUACAACUGUAUGUGCUUAUCAAUGCAACUUUAAGUACAAGAGUAAACUUCUCGUGCCUUUCUGACCAUAAGUUUUCACACCUUGUUUUCUUAUAAAAUAUGAAUUUUUCAAAACAAAAGAAUAAUUAAAAGAACGUCAAGUUAUACAUCACCACUCUGUCUCUAAUAGCUCUAACAACAACAACAUAUAAGAGCCAUAUACACUGGACCUAGCAUUAUACAGAAGACUCUUGGUAUGAGCUGGUAAUGCUGACAUAUUUUGGAGUAAUAGUCACAACUCUUCCUGAACCAACUGAGAAAUAAACCUCAGAGGCAGAUAAGGAUUAAAACAUACAUAGGAAAACCUAAUUGGAACAUGAUUGGAACUUGAUUCACUUUUUUCUAAUUUGUUUAAUCCAAGAGAGCUUAUAGGGUAAACAAGACAUCUAGCAAGCUUGUGGAAUGAACUUCUAAGCACAGAGAAUUAUCCUACACCCUCUGCAAAAGGUCACAUAUGCUCAAGAUUGUGCUUGUCAGCUUUCUAUUGCUAUAGCAAAUCCCUGGUAUAACCAAUUUGUAAAGAGAAAAAAUUUAUUUUUAUUCAGUUCUUGGUCAUUUAGCCCUGUUAUUUUUCAGUCUGUAACAAGGAGCAGCCUUGAUGGCAGGGAGCAUGUGGCAGAGCAAGGCUGCUCAAUUCACUACUAGGACAGAAAGAAAAAGGAAAGGAUUGGGAUCCUACUAUUCCUUUCAAAGACAUACCUCCAAAGGCUUCCCAUUAGAUCUUACUCCUUUUAUCGUUUAGAUAUGAGGUGUCCCUCAAAAACUCAUGUGUGAGACAAUGUAAGAAUGUUCAGAAGUGAAAUGAAUACAUUAUUAUGAGAACUGUAACCUCAUCAGUGGAUUAAUCCACUUAUAUGGAUUAACUGAAUGGUAACUGUAGGCAUGUAGGAUAUGACUAUAGGAAGUAAAUUACUGGGGACUUGCCUUUGUGGGUUAUAUUUUUUCCCUGGUGAGUGGAGCUCUUUUUCCUGGCUGUCAUGAACUGAGUAGCUUUCCUCCUCCACAUCCUUCAGCCAUGAUGUUCUGCCUCACUUUGUGCUCAGAAUUAUAAAGUCAGUCAUCUAUAGACUGAAUCUAUGAAAUUGUGAGCCAAAAUAAUUUUUUUCUCCUUUAAAUUGUUUUUGUGUCUUUGGGUCACAGCAACAAAAUGUUGACUUAAAAGACCCCUUAAAGGUUUUGGUACCUCUCAAUGGUGCCAACCUAAUGAUGAAGUCUUUACCAUAUGACCUUUUGGGGAUACCUAUCCAAACCUUAGCAAAAGCCACCACAUUAUUUAUACCCAACUGGUAAAUGCAAACCAAUGUUUGUCUCUCUUUUUCUCAGGAGAAAAGACAAUGAGAGAGGGAAAUCAACCUGCAAUAUGCUCUUAUUUAUGAAUAUGUCUGUGAAUUAUCUGAAGAGUUUGUGAAAAAUGCAGAUCCAGUCCAACCAGGGUGUGGCCUGAGGUUUUGUACUUCUCACAUGCUCCCAAGUCAGGCAGAUGCUGGUUUUGAGUAGCAACUUCCUAGAGUGGGGCUUUCGAUGUCCAUUCAGGGGAUGCCUAAGGUCACAAAUAUUUUUUCAUAAUACAAAGCCAUUCAGUGGAGUGUUUUGGUGGGUACAUGGCAUAUGUUGGUUAAACCACUAAAGAUAAAAGAUGUGAAAAUCCUAAUAUCUUUUAUAAAGAAAUUUACACACACACACACACACACAUAUAUAUGUGCGUAUAUAUAUAUAUAUAUAUAUAUAUAUAUAUAUAUAUAUAUAUAUAUAUUUUUUUUUUUUUACAAAAAUAAGCCUGACAUGGUGGUGCAUACCCGUAGUUCCAGUAGCUUGGAAGACUGAGGCAAGAGGAUCACAAGUUCAAAGCCAGCCUCAACUUAGAGAGAGCCUAAGCAACUUAGCGAGACCCUGUCUUGGAAAAAAAAAAAAAAGGCUGGAAAUAUGGCUCAGUAUUUGAACUCUUCUGGGUGUAAUCCCUGGUACAUUUUUUGAAAAGAAAAAAAAGAAAGAAAAUCAAAAAAGAAAGAAAGGAAUUCACAGGAAUCUAAAACUAUACCCCUCAUUUCACUAGUUCCUUAUUUUGACAAACAUAAUUAUGUUUAUAAAAAUGUUAUCCAUAUUAGCAUGUAAUGGGUUUAUUUUCAUUACAAAAUAAGAUAAAUAUAUAUUUUCCAGCUCUUAUUUGUAUUAUGGUAAAUAUCAGUAGAUAUAACUCAUAUGGCCAAAGUUUGGGGGAUGCCCAAUCAUUUUUAAAAAGCUUUCCAAGUAUUUGCGAUUCACUGCUUUCUGAUGCAUGGAAGUUUAUUUUUCCUUGGUCAAGACAAACAUAAAGAAAGAGAAAAUAUGUUCUCCUACUUUAAAGCUAUGUUAAGGAAACAUUGAGAGCCCACAUAUUUUAAUAAAACACCUUAGCACAAAGUACUUGUGGACAUUUUUGUAGGAAAAAAUAGAAGAGUUGGCUAUGGGAUCUGCUCUUUUUAAUGGAAUGUCAAUAAACAUCCAGGGAGUUCUUCUUUAAGUGCCUUACUGUUGGGAAAUGACAGAACAAGAAAACAAGUGAGUCUUAAUCCCAAAAUAUGCUACCCUGCCACAAAAGUAGAUGAGUCAGUUUAUCCUUGGCUUCCUUAAAGCCUCAUGUUUUCUCACCCAUCUCAUGGAGAAUAUUUGGGACUGUAUUUUCAUCUAGCAUAGGCCAGUAUUUUCUUUGUUGACAUGCUAUUUCUGUUCUAUGAAUUUCUUUUACUUGGGAAAAUACAUGUGAGGCAAUGCAUCAAAGAAUUCAUUUAUUAACUUUACAUGUGGUAAAAAUAUCAAAUGCUUCUGGAAGCUUCCAGCCAACAUUAUACCACAUGUGCUUAGUUCAACUGCUUCCACCAUGCCUUCACCACCUGAGCUUGAUAAAAGCAUACUGUUGACUCUCUCAUUAAGCUUAUUCUAAUGGAAACACUCAGACAUGGGUUUUGUUUGUUUUUUGGUUUGUUUUCUAUGCCUAUCGAUGCAUUUCACCAUUUUUCAACUUUUCCCAAAUGUUUACUAAUGUGUAAAUUUUGCAUUGGAUGGACCAGUUGAGGUGCUGUUUCCUUCCUUUUCUUAUGCCUCUGGUAUGGUGAGUCAUUACUAAAUUCCCUUUUUAAAUGGAUCUAUUUUAUUUUCUAUCUUAAAGCAGAUUGUAUAAUACUGACCAACUUGAAGCCAAGGAAGCAGGUGCUUGUCAAAGGUCUGUACAGGCCAGUUCUAGUGCUGGAGGCAUGUGCAAUGAGGGACAUAGUCCUUAUUCUCUGUGGAAUGACAAUCUAGCAAGUGCAAGAGGAACACAAAGAUAAGCACACAAAUGGCUUUAAUACUCUCAGGGACCAUAGACACAGGAAGACAUGAAUAAGAAAGAUGUUUUGUUUUUUUUUUUAAUAGUUCACCCAGAGAACAGAGGUAAUGUCUAUUAGAAUAGACAGUCUUCUAAACUGUUUUGAACUUUCCACUUCUUAACAUCAGGCUUUUCUCUAAACUUGGGACCUGAAAUGUCUCAAAUGUAUUUAUUCUUCACAGCCUUAAUGAUUCUCCUUCAAAAUCUUCUAUCACAACAAAGUCAGAGAUAAACUCCUUGAAGCAAAAUUUAAACAGACAUGAAAGAAUUAAAACAAAAUCCUCAACUACUGUAAUGGGUAUUUAAGAAUAUUAAUGAAUUUAUUGUUCAUUUUCUUUGUACACAAUAUUUCACACAGAUCCACACACACACACACACACCCAUCUUCAUAAGAAUCAGUGAAGUCUGUACAACUGUUGUCACUCUUUUGCACAUGAGUAAAUAAGUAGACAAAGUGUCUAACAGGCUGGGAUUUUGGCAUUGCUGUUUUUGAGGAUGUGCUAAAGUGCACAGAAAGUUAGUCCACAGUAAAUGUUCUCAUAGUUUGAUAGAAUAAUUUUAUUAUCAUGCUCAGUCCACAGUAAAUGUUCUCAUAGUUUGAUAGAAUAAUUUUGUUAUCAUGUUCAGUCUAAUAGCUUGCUCUAACUACUAAGAGCCACAGUGAUCACUACUCUUCCAUACUGUAGGGUCGGGCAGGUGAGCCAAGUAUCUCUUAAGAGUUCUCGUUGGAGGAGGAUUUGCUUAAGUUCCAGGAUUUCACAGGCAUUGCAAUAUUUAAUAAGAUAAAUCAGACAGAAUAAUGGAAAUACAACUAAAUAUCAGUUUUGAUUAAUCAUAAAUGUGACAAUUCUGCAAUUAGUACAUAAGCCUAAAUAAGAGAUGUUGACAAUUCUGAUACAGACCAACAUGGAUCUGCAUAGGUGAGUGACAGAAGAGAACAGAAACUUCAAUAAUAGAGUAAGUUAAUUACUUGGCAUUGUAAUUUUUAGGAAUAAUGUCAGAUAAAUUUGCUAACAUCAGACCAAUAAACAUAGACUAUCUUAGUUCAAUAUAUUUUAUUGAGUAUUCUUUGGUGAAUUCUUUGAAUCAAACAUAUUUAAAUUGUCUACCAUAUGCAAGGCACUAGACUAAGGGUAAACAUAACAUGGCAAGCAAAAAUGGGGUGUUAAUCCAGAUUCUUUUUGUUUUAGGUGGCAGCACCCCUAAUUAUACUGGCAUAAACAAAAGGAAAUAUUUUGUUGACAUGGCUGGAUUUAACGAUUCUAAUGAUUUACUGCUCAUUAUUUUAUCCUACUUUUUAUCUGUCUUCACCCGCUCUCACUUUUGGUUGGCUUCUUUCUGAGUCUCUUUCUCUUUGGUGACAUCUCUAGGAUAAAAGUGAAAUCAGCAGAGACUAAAGUAGAUGCUUUUUGAUCUUUCUUCUUGACUCCCAGCUGCUCUAUAUUCCCCAGCUUCCUGCCACAGUCUUAUAUCUGGGUGGGGCCAUAUGGCUUUUUCUGCCAUACGGACUAUAUUUCCUAUGCUGCUUCCAAGUAUGCUGCUUCCAAGAAAAAAGCAAAUAAGGGAGGAUGUGCCUUAACUUCCUUUCUCUUUCUUAUGUCAGUAUUAGCGGCAACAGGUUAAGAAUGGGACAGGAUUGCAGGAUAGAAUAAGGUUGGUUCCCAAAUAACUGCACAGAGCAGCACUGUACCAGCCAUCAACCCAUAAUGGACUAUGACAUGAGCAAAGAAUGCACUCCGUGUGACGCCAUUGAGAAUUUAAGAGUGUUUGUUACAGCAUUCAGCUUUCCUUUUAAAUUGUAGUCCUUAGAUUCCCUGAUCACGGGGCGGGGGGUGGGGGGGGGGAGUGCAUUUAGCUAAUGGUUUGAGCAAAUGUUCCAAGUAAGACUGCAAUGGGCAGAGUUCUUUGCAGAACCAGCUGUUCUGGCCAGGUGUAAGGAGCACUCUUAGUUGCCAAGUUUGAUGUCCAGUGUCCAGAUCUAUGGGGAAAAAAAUAGCUUUGUUCAAACACGCGUACUGAAUUUCCCUGAACAAAUAUAUUUUUAUAUUAGAAGAACAAUGAUAAAGAAAGGUGAUAAGUAAAUAUCAGUAAACACCCACAUACAUAAUUUUUAAAAAAUAGUUUAUCUGUGUUUUGCUUACUUAACAUGUCAAUUCAUGCCUCUCAUUUACCAGAUACUAAGCUGAAAACUGGAGAUAGAGUGGAAAGAAGACCUUCAGAGUUCCUGUUUUGAUAGAGCACGCAUUCUGGUGAAGAAGACAGACACAGAGAGGGAGAGGGGAUCCAGGGAGAAAUGGAAAAAAUAUGGAAAGAAGGAUGGGGAGGCCAAAACAGAUUCUGAGAUAUUGAGUUAUUUUUAUGCAAAAAAAGUUUGUUGUCCGGUAGGACAAUUCUAUCAACAAUCUAAAGCUAAAACUAGAUUUAGGGGAAAAAAUCAUAGUCUCCAGACAUAAUUUGCAUUUUCCAGAGGGUGAACUGACUGGGCUGGAAGCUUUUAGCAGAGACUCUAAUGAGUUAACUUGUCCUUUAAUCAUAUUUUUUAGGUUAUUUAUGGAUUCCCUGAAUAUUUUACAGAUUUAGUAGUGGAGUACAAAUGAGAGGCUUUCUUUAUAUCAUACUGGAAGUUUUCUUCUGUCAAUACCUCCAUCACACUUAGGUUCAACAUACAACAUUUUCCUUAUUUAAUUUUCUAAAAGAAAGUCAUUGAGUAAACUAAUGGAUAAAAUAAUUACCUAUUUAACUAAUGCUUGCUGUCAGACAAGUGUGAGUCUGAACUGCAGAAAAAAAAAACAGGUUAGAAAUUGUAUAGUUAAUUGUAAAUAUGUCUUUAGUAAUUCACAAGUCACUAUUGGCACUUAAUUCCAUAAAGUCACAAGUCAGAAGAAUUCUUUUAGGUUCAACAGUCACUGAAAUGUUUGGACCCAUACUGACAUGGGCCAUUAAAGGUCCGGUGACUUUCGUGGUCAAAUCUGGUAGGGACUGUCCUUAGAGGAUAGUUUUGAACAUGGGCCACAGUCUCACACAACACAGCACCACAGUCGUAUCCUUUCCUACUCACCUCCAUCUAGAAAGAAUGUGAUGACCCCAUUUGGCACCAACAUAGACAGAAAAGGAUUUUGAUGAACUGAUGUUGGGUUCUGAGAUGGGAAGGAAAGGAGCAAAAGCUGGCUCUGGGAAGAGCUACACAGGAAUCCAUGAGCAAAGAUGAGUUUCCUGAACUGUAAAUCAAUAAAGCCUGUUUCCUCUUCUCAUUUGAUGCCUCAAGCUCAUCUGCUCCCAUUUUCAAAGGUCAGCAUUGACAGACUUGGGUCUCUGUGGGGCUUCAGAUGGAGUGAAAGGAAUGUUACCAGCAGGUACAGAUCCUGCCAACUGGGUGGU
rnacentral:lncRNA from 1 species